ensembl:lncRNA
AGGGCAGCAAGCAGAGCUCUCCGGCCAUGCGAGGGUGCAGGCAAGGAACUGGCUGCCUGUGCAACACUCACAACUACCAUUUACCUUGGUCCGUUUGAAAGAGAUGAGCUUACUUUCCCAGCCCAAUUAAUUCUCCAGGUAGAGUACGAACCUCACACAAGCUCCUGUUUACGAACAUCUGUGCAUACAUAUGUGUACACGGGGCCAUGCAGUCCAUGGUACAUGCCUUUCCUUAAUGGUUUUCAGGCUUCACUUCAGCGAGGGAGGAGAGACAUGUCUCAUGGCCGUGCGUUUUCUGCCUCUCCGUGGCAGGAGGGAACGCGGGCAGGCUCUUUUCCUUCACUGACAUCUGCUACAACAGCCGACUACUUUCGACAAUAAAGUGCGAGGCAUAACUGAGGGAUCUACGCAGUCUUCAGCACCAGCAGUGAGUUAAGAAGGAAAGAAGCUCUCAUUAGUCUUCUGGAUCUCCAACUGAGUUUGCUGCACUGGAAGGUGUUUGGGGGGUUUGGUGUUGUUGGGUUUUUUACAUGAAAACACAGCAAAUUUGACUAUGAAGCAUAAGAAAUAUUUUGGCAUAUAUUUUUAAAAACAGGGUCAUACUUUAAUACUGACUGUCUAGCUGCACAGUAUACGCUAUACCUUGAUAUUGCAUUGUUACAAUGAUAUAUAUUACAGCACCAAAUAAUAGCCAUUGUUUACUGAAUUCAGGUUAGAGUAUCUACCCUUCCUCUCAUUUGAUUUUCCUAAAUUUUUUGAUUUUCCUAAAUCUUCUUCUGUCCCAAGCACAUUUUAUCCUUAAUCUAGUCAUACGCCACACCUUGACCAUAUGGUCCUCUACUGGGGAACAGAGUAAUUCUAGGCAAUUAAAGCGCUUGUUUGUAUCCAUUUCAUCUGUAGAUCUAUGGAGGUGCAAGCAAAAUAGGUUGGAUAGUGAAGACUGCUAAUGCUGAUAGCGCUUUAGAUCACUUGAUAAUCUUUUUCCUGUGCUAGUUAUUACUGAAUGGAAAUCAAAUGCAUGCAUGUUAGGGCUAAGAACAGAUGGCACUUCUGUUCUGUGAGGAAGAAACAGGGGCAAAGGGGCAGCAAAGUUGAACCUCCCCCCUUCCCUAUCUUACCAGGAUUCAUUGUGUGGCCCUCCUGUUACGGUUGGCUGUGACUCUUUAUUGUCAUAAAGAGAUGUGAGAAGUUAGAGAGAGACAGACAAUAACCUUAAAUCCUUUACUGCAUUUUACCAGGGGUCUUAAAAAAACAUAUAAAAAAAUAAAACGCAGCUGAGGGAGCUGGAAAAUGUCA